rnacentral:rRNA from 1 species
UACGAAGGGGGCUAGCGUUGUUCGGAAUUACUGGGCGUAAAGCGUGCGCAGGCGGCUUCUCAAGUCAGGGGUGAAAGCCCAGAGCUCAACUCUGGAAUUGCCUUUGAGACUGAGUGGCUUGAGUACGAGAGAGGUGAGUGGAAUUCCCAGUGUAGAGGUGAAAUUCGUAGAUAUUGGGAAGAACACCGGUGGCGAAGGCGGCCUGCCGGGGUGUGGCUGACGCUGAUGCGCGACAGCGUGGGGAGCAAACAGG